rnacentral:rRNA from 1 species
AUGUUUAUCUCGUCUUCUCUUGGAUGUAUUUGUCUAGAUGGAGAGCUCGGUCUUUUUUUCGUGGAGCUGGCGCUGCUGCAGUACGGCCUAGUCCAGUCUAAGCCCUCCAUGGUUGUUGCUGCUGUUUCGGCAACCAGGAUCACCCCCGAAGAAGACCCCUAUGUGGACUGA